rnacentral:rRNA from 1 species
GAACGCUAGCGGCAAGCUUAACACAUGCAAGUCGAGGGGCAGCGGGGAGGAAGCUUGCUUUCUCCGCCGGCGACCGGCGCACGGGUGAGUAACACGUAUGCAACCUGCCCCUGUCAGGGGGACAACCCGCCGAAAGGCGGGCUAAACCCGCGUACAUGCCACCGGGGCAUCCCGGAGGCAGGAAAGGCUUCGGCCGGACAGGGAUGGGCAUGCGGCGCAUUAGGCAGUAGGCGGGGUAACGGCCCACCUAACCGACGAUGCGUAGGGGUUCUGAGAGGAAGGUCCCCCACACUGGUACUGAGACACGGACCAGACUCCUACGGGAGGCAGCAGUGAGGAAUAUUGGUCAAUGGUCGGGAGACUGAACCAGCCAAGCCGCGUGAGGGAUGAAGGUACAGAGUAUCGUAAACCUCUUUUGUCAGGGAACAAAGGCGGGGACGUGUCCCCGGAUGAGUGUACCUGAAGAAAAAGCAUCGGCUAACUCCGUGCCAGCAGCCGCGGUAAUACGGAGGAUGCGAGCGUUAUCCGGAUUUAUUGGGUUUAAAGGGUGCGCAGGCGGUCUGUCAAGUCAGCGGUCAAAGCCCGGGGCUCAACCCCGGCCCGCCGUUGAAACUGGCAGUCUCGAGUUGGAGAGAAGUAUGCGGAAUGCGCGGUGUAGCGGUGAAAUGCAUAGAUAUCGCGCAGAACUCCGAUUGCGAAGGCAGCAUGCCGGCUCCACACUGACGCUGAGGCACGAAAGCGUGGGUAUCGAACAGGAUUAGAUACCCUGGUAGUCCACGCAGUAAACGAUGAAUGCUGGCUGUCCGGGGGGGAUUGACCCCUGGGUGGCGAAGCGAAAGCGAUAAGCAUUCCACCUGGGGGGUACGCCGGCAACGGUGAAACUCAAAGGAAUUGACGGGGGCCCGCACAAGCGGAGGAACAUGUGGUUUAAUUCGAUGAUACGCGAGGAACCUUACCCGGGCUCAAACGGGGAGUGACUCAGGCAGAGACGCCUGUUUCCCACGGGACACUCCCCGAGGUGCUGCAUGGUUGUCGUCAGCUCGUGCCGUGAGGUGUCGGCUUAAGUGCCAUAACGAGCGCAACCCCCGCGUGCAGUUGCUAACAGAUAACGCUGAGGACUCUGCACGGACUGCCGGCGCAAGCCGCGAGGAAGGCGGGGAUGACGUCAAAUCAGCACGGCCCUUACGUCCGGGGCGACACACGUGUUACAAUGGGUGGUACAGCGGGAAGCCAGGCGGCGACGCCGAGCGGAACCCGAAAUCCACUCUCAGUUCGGAUCGGAGUCUGCAACCCGACUCCGUGAAGCUGGAUUCGCUAGUAAUCGCGCAUCAGCCAUGGCGCGGUGAAUACGUUCCCGGGCCUUGUACACACCGCCCGUCAAGCCAUGGGAGCCGAGGGCGCUUGAAGU